rnacentral:rRNA from 1 species
AACCUGCCCAAGAGAUCGGGAUAACACCUGGAAACAGAUGCUAAUACCGGAUAACAACAGAUGAUGCCUAUCAACUGUUUAAAAGAUGGUUCUGCUAUCACUCUUGGAUGGACCUGCGGUGCAUUAGCUAGUUGGUAGGGUAACGGCCUACCAAGACGAUGAUGCAUAGCCGAGUUGAGAGACUGAUCGGCCACAUUGGGACUGAGACACGGCCCAAACUCCUACGGGAGGCAGCAGUA